CACCUCUCCAACCAAACCCAAAGAAACUCUUACUCCCUAUAUUUUAAAUUUAGCUUUCCACAAAAAAUGUAGAAUCUUCGAAGUCUGAAGAUAAUGGUGACAACUGCCAACAUAAGCAAAAAAACAUUUAAAAAUCAAACCAAUAAUCUCAAUAAUUCACAUGCUUAUAAUGAAUUUCAUUGGUGGUUACCUCACGGGGUUGAGCAGUAUAGGGAUGACUGGCAUAUCUAGAAGCUUCCAAGGCGUCUUCAAGAUCGAUUCGCAAAGAAACAUCACGGCCAAUGCGGUCACUAACUACAAUUCCCGCAUUAAUAACGUCACGCAUCACAAUCUCAUUGUCCCCAGACAUAUUCGGAAUACCUCAAGAGCUCAAAAAAUUCAAGAUUCCCUAGGGCUUGAAGAAACAUCACGGCCAAUGCGGUCACUAACUACAAUUCCCGCAUGAAUAACGUCACGCAUCACAAUCUCAUUGUCCCCAGACAUAUUCUGAAUACCUCAAGAGCUCAAAAAAUUCAAGAUUCCCUAGGGCUUGAACUCAGCUUAGCUG
rnacentral:lncRNA from 1 species